rnacentral:rRNA from 1 species
GUCUGCCAACACACAAACUCAUAUAUUGUAAUCUGAAUGUAAAUUGAUGUAACGCAUCUAUGAACUAAGUUUCAACAACGGAUCUCUUGGCUCUCGCAUCGAUGAAGAACGCAACGAAAUGCGAUAAGUAAUGUGAAUUGCAGAAUUCAGUGAAUCAUCGAAUCUUUGAACGCACCUUGCGCUCCUUGGUAUUCCUUGGAGCAUGCCUGUUAAAGUAUCAUGAAAUUAUCAAAACAAGUCUUUUGUUCAUUCAACUGGCUCUUUGUUUUGGACUUGGAGGUCUUGCAAAUUCACGUCUGCUCCUCUUGAAUGCAUUACCUGGAUCUCAGUGAGCUCGGUUCCACUCGGCGUGAUAAGUAUCACUCGCUGAGGAACCCUCUAAAAAAAGGUGGCCGGUAUUGCAGAUGAACCGCUUCCAAUAGUCUGUUACCUCAGACAGCUUUACUUUAUGAUCUGAUCUCAUAUCAGGUAGGACUACCCGCUGAACUU